rnacentral:rRNA from 1 species
AUUGAACGCUGGCGGCAUGCCUUACACAUGCAAGUCGAACGGUAACAGGUCUUCGGAUGCUGACGAGUGGCGAACGGGUGAGUAAUACAUCGGAACGUGCCCGAUCGUGGGGGAUAACGGAGCGAAAGCUUUGCUAAUACCGCAUACGAUCUACGGAUGAAAGCAGGGGACCGCAAGGCCUUGCGCGGACGGAGCGGCCGAUGGCAGAUUUGGUUGUUGGUAUAAAAAAAGCUUACCAAGCCGACGAUCUGUAGCUGGUCUGAGAGGACGACCAGCCACACUGGGACUGAGACACGGCCCAGACUCCUACGGGAGGCAGCAGUGGGGAAUUUUGGACAAUGGGCGCAAGCCUGAUCCAGCCAUGCCGCGUGCAGGAUGAAGGCCUUCGGGUUGUAAACUGCUUUUGUACGGAACGAAAAGACUCUGGUUAAUACCUGGGGUCCAUGACGGUACCGUAAGAAUAAGCACCGGCUAACUACGUGCCAGCAGCCGCCGUAAGAC